GCAGACAUCGUAUAAUGGUAUUACUUCAGCCUUCCAAGCUGGUAAUACGGGUUCGAUUCCCGUUGUCUGCU
rnacentral:tRNA from 3 species